AUUUCCUUCGUCCAUGAAAAAAGAUGAAUAGUGGUGUUAAAGAUGAAUAAGCCACCCGUUCCGGCGCGCAUGGCGCGCAGAGAGAGAGAGAGAAAGAGACAAAAAAAAAAAUGAAGGAGGAAAAGGCGCUCACACUCCUCCGAGCGCGCACGCCCUCGCGCGCGGAGCUCCUGCGCAUGCUCGGAGCUCUUGCGCAUGCGCGGCGGUGCGCCGUCUCAACGAGUGCGCCAGGCACGUAAACGGUUGUACCGGUGUGCGGUGUAUGCCUGAACGUCGGUGUCUGUGUAUGCGUGUCAUCUUUGUGGCAUCACACGUCAACUACACUGAACGCAUACACCUGCAGCACCUUUGGGACUAAUGACACAAAGGUCAAGGCCAGCCUGGCGACCAUGCUUGCCAAGAAGUAGUGUAAAUAUGUAAUCUGUUUCCAUAAUUAGCAUAAGACAUGAAUUUAAGGAAUUCAUAUAUUAUAUCGAGCAAUAAAAACGGUUAAUGCAUU